rnacentral:lncRNA from 1 species
AGACAUUCUGAUUUAAUUGGCAUGGGGCAAGACCUGGACUUGGGAUUUUUUUUAAUGCUCUUCAUGUGAUCUGUUGGGCAGCCAGAUUUGGGGAUCACUAGACGGAAGAAGGAUUGUUAAAGUCUCCGGAGAUGUUACUUGCCAAUGCUAAGAGCUCUUUGAGGACAUCUGGAAUUGUUACAAUAUUGCCAAAUAUAGGAAAGAGGGAAAAGGUAGAGUGUGAUUCCAAUAAUAAAGGAUUCCGCUUUUCAUU